GACCCCGCGGCGCAGUGGCUAACGCCUCCGUUUUGUAAUCUCAAGACCCGGGUUCAAUUCCACGCGGCGUCA